rnacentral:rRNA from 1 species
CCUACGGGAGGCUGCAGUGGGGAAUAUUGCACAAUGGGGGAAACCCUGAUGCAGCGACGCCGCGUGAAGGAAGAAGUAUUUCGGUAUGUAAACUCCUAUCGGAAGGGAAGAAAAUGACGGUACCUGACUAAGAAGCACCGGCUAACUACGUGCCAGCAGCCGCGGUAAUACGGAGGGGGCAAGCGUUAUCCGGAUUGACUGGGUGUAAAGUGAGCGUAGGCGGCGAAGCAAGUCAGAAGUGAAAGCCCGGGGCUUAACUACGGGACUGCUUUUGAAACUGUGUUGCUAGAGUGCAGGAGAGGUAGGUGGAAUUCCUAGUGUAGCGGUGAAAUGCGUAGAUAUUAGGAGGAACACCAGUUGCGAAGGCGGCUUACUGGACUGUAAAUGACGCUGAGGCUCGAAAGCGUGGGGAGCAAACAGGAUUAGAUACCCUUGUAGUC